rnacentral:rRNA from 1 species
UGGGGAAUAUUGGACAAUGGGCGCAAGCCUGAUCCAGCCAUGCCGCGUGAGUGAUGAAGGCCCUAGGGUUGUAAAGCUCUUUCACCGGUGAAGAUAAUGACGGUAACCGGAGAAGAAGCCCCGGCUAACUUCGUGCCAGCAGCCGCGGUAAUACGAAGGGGGCUAGCGUUGUUUGGAUUUACUGGGCGUAAAGCGCACGUAGGCGGACUAUUAAGUCAGGGGUGAAAUCCCGGGGCUCAACCCCGGAACUGCCUUUGAUACUGGUAGUCUUGAGUUCGAGAGAGGUGAGUGGAAUUCCGAGUGUAGAGGUGAAAUUCGUAGAUAUUCGGAGGAACACCAGUGGCGAAGGCGGCUCACUGGCUCGAUACUGACGCUGAGGUGCGAAAGCGUGGGGAGCAAACAGG